rnacentral:rRNA from 1 species
UACGUAGGGCGCAAGCGUUGUCCGGAAUUACUGGGCGUAAAGCGUGCGCAGGCGGUUUUGUAAGCCAGAUGUGAAAUCCCCGGGCUUAACCUGGGAAUGGCAUUUGGGACUGCAAGGCUUGAGUGCGGCAGAGGAGACUGGAAUUCCUGGUGUAGCAGUGAAAUGCGUAGAUAUCAGGAGGAAUACCGAUGGCGAAGGCAGGUCUCUGGGCUGACACUGACGCUCAUGCACGAAAGCGUGGGGAGCAAACAGG